rnacentral:rRNA from 1 species
GACGAACGCUGGCGGCGUGCUUAACACAUGCAAGUCGAACGAAAAGAGGGAAAGAGCUUGCUCUUUCCGGAAUUGAGUGGCAAACGGGUGAGUAACACGUAAACAACCUGCCUUCAGGAUGGGGACAACAGACGGAAACGACUGCUAAUACCGAAUAAGUUCCAAGGGCCGCAUGGCCCAUGGAAGAAAAGGUGGCCUCUACCUGUAAGCUAUCGCCUGAAGAGGGGUUUGCGUCUGAUUAGCUGGUUGGAGGGGUAACGGCCCACCAAGGCGACGAUCAGUAGCCGGUCUGAGAGGAUGAACGGCCACACUGGAACUGAGACACGGUCCAGACUCCUACGGGAGGCAGCAGUGGGGAAUCUUCCGCAAUGGGCGAAAGCCUGACGGAGCAACGCCGCGUGAGUGAUGACGGCCUUCGGGUUGUAAAACUCUGUGAUCCGGGACGAAAAGGCAGAGUGCGAAGAACAAACUGCAUUGACGGUACCGGAAAAGCAAGCCACGGCUAACUACGUGCCAGCAGCCGCGGUAAUACGUAGGUGGCAAGCGUUGUCCGGAAUUAUUGGGCGUAAAGCGCGCGCAGGCGGCUUCCCAAGUCCCUCUUAAAAGUGCGGGGCUUAACCCCGUGAUGGGAAGGAAACUGGGAAGCUGGAGUAUCGGAGAGGAAAGUGGAAUUCCUAGUGUAGCGGUGAAAUGCGUAGAGAUUAGGAAGAACACCGGUGGCGAAGGCGACUUUCUGGACGAAAACUGACGCUGAGGCGCGAAAGCGUGGGGAGCAAACAGG